rnacentral:rRNA from 1 species
GAUGAACGCUGGCGGCGUGCCUAAUACAUGCAAGUCGAGCGAACAGAUAAGGAGCUUGCUCCUUUGACGUUAGCGGCGGACGGGUGAGUAACACGUGGAUAACCUACCUAUAAGACUGGGAUAACUUCGGGAAACCGGAGCUAAUACCGGAUAACAUAUUGAACCGCAUGGUUCAAUAGUGAAAGGCGGCUUUGCUGUCACUUAUAGAUGGAUCCGCGCCGUAUUAGCUAGUUGGUAAGGUAACGGCUUACCAAGGCAACGAUACGUAGCCGACCUGAGAGGGUGAUCGGCCACACUGGAACUGAGACACGGUCCAGACUCCUACGGGAGGCAGCAGUAGGGAAUCUUCCGCAAUGGGCGAAGGCCUGACGGAGCAACGCCGCGUGAGUGAUGAAGGCCUUCGGAUCGUAAAACUCUGUUAUCAGGGAAGAACAAAUGUGUAAGUAACUGUGCACAUCUUGACGGUACCUGAUCAGAAAGCCACGGCUAACUACGUG